UACGUAGGGGGCUAGCGUUGUCCGGAAUCAUUGGGCGUAAAGCGCGCGUAGGCGGCCCGAUAAGUCCGUUGUGAAAGUCAAAGGCUCAACCUUUGAAUGCCGAUGGAUACUGUCGGGCUAGAGUCCGGAAGAGGCGAGUGGAAUUCCUGGUGUAGCGGUGAAAUGCGCAGAUAUCAGGAAGAACACCAAUGGCGAAAGCAGCUCUCUGGGACGGUACUGACGCUGAGACGCGAAAGCGUGGGGAGCGAACAGG
rnacentral:rRNA from 1 species